UUGAUUGAUUUGUUUUUUUCUCAGACGACAUAGAUUCAGAGUUGUGUUUUUGGCCUCUGGCGGCUGCAGGCCUGAGCGACACACUCUCGGCAACGAACAGCUGUAAAUAAACACAUGUAAAACAGGGUGUAACAGUUGUGUCGUGCGCAAAAGAGGCCGCCCAACCCGCACGGGCUAACGUGGAUGGAUUGUUUAAACUAGUAAAACGUUUUCUAACGCACAACCACAAACAGCCAACCGCCAAAGCAACAUGACAGAAAACAAGGGUGGAGACCGUGAAUACUCACAGAACUCGGUAAUGAUCCUUCCGCAGGUUCACCUACGGAAA
rnacentral:misc_RNA from 1 species